AUUGAACGCUAGCGGGAUGCUUUACACAUGCAAGUCGAACGAGUGGCGGACGGGUGAGUAAUAUAUCGGAACGUGCCCAUUAGCGGGGGAUAACUACUCGAAAGAGUGGCUAAUACCGCAUACUUUUGGUGCGGCCGAUAUCGGAUUAGCUAGUUGGUGGGGUAAAGGCUCACCAAGGCAACGAUCCGUAGCUGGUUUGAGAGGACGACGGGCAAAACUGGGACGAGGAAACGGCCAGGAAUCCUACGGGGGGAGACGGUGGGGAAUUUUGGACAAUGGGGGAAACCCUGAGCCGAAAAUCCCGCGUGUAUGAAAGGGCCUUCGGGUUGAAAGGUACUUUUGGCAGGAAAGCGGUAUCUGAAGAAUAAGCACCGGCUAACUACGUGCCAGCAGCCGCGGUAAUAC
rnacentral:rRNA from 1 species